AAUUUGUUGUGGGCAAAUGAAAUGAAUAUGUGCGUCAAUCCCUCCUGCUGUGAUAAUUUGUCCCUCGCCUGCAAUGGCUUCGGUACCCGCCCCGAUGGCGAUAUCAACAUCAGAUUGGAUAUCCGGAUUACCCGCUUUACCAAUGCCUGCUAUGCGACCAUUCUUGAUCCCAAUAUCUGCUUUUACGAUGCCCCAAUGAUCUAGGAUAAGGACAUUCGUGAUUACAGUGUCAACCACAUCUGCAGAACUCAGUUGACUCUGUCCCAUACCAUCAC
rnacentral:sRNA from 1 species